UAAAAUUGAAUUUGUACACGUUGUGCUGUUGCUUCUCCACACGUCCACGCCUGUCCAGAGGUUCACUUAGCGUGACCGGGACUCCUCCUUUGAGCCAAUGACCUGUAGGACAUUUACACAUUUUUUGCAAGUUAUUCACCAAUUUCCCAAGUGUUGCAUUGCUUAUUGCACAUUUGCACUCAGGCUUCAGGUUACCAUGAAUCCACACAGGUGCGAAUAAGGAUGACAACACAGGAGAAAAGUUGACACACAAGACACAGCCUCCCCAUCAACUUGGCCACAGCAAUUUCCCCGCUUACAAACACUGAGUUGUCCCAUCUAAAUCUUCUGCCAUAUAUUGUGUGUGAAACAAUCAAAUUCUGGUUUGACUACUGCCCGCUGGUGCAAAAUCAUUAAAAUGGAGGUUACCUGGGAUAUGCAGUUCAGUUGGUCUGUAGAGUUUAAAUCAGAAUGAAUGGGACCUUUGUAAUUGUGGUGGCAUACCUGGCCUUUCACAUUCCAGAAGUAUAUUCAAUGCACAUCCCAGAGUUGUGGAAACUAGGACUUAACCCUUUACAGAUAGUAACUAUCCAUUUGACUGGGCCAUGUUAAGACUUCUUGUAUCGAGUCAGUGGGACAAAGCACAUGCAUAAGCUCCCUACUUAAAGCUAUUAUAUCAAUGCAGUGCUUAAGUACAAGGGCUAAAUAAGGUUUUGAAACACAUUAAUCCUCUUCACAGGACAGACUGCCUCCAAGAUGAGCAAUACUUCCUGGACACACUGAAGGCUUGAAUAUAACAAAUAAUUUCACACGACACCAAAUUUAGUACAUUGUUUUUUAUUUUGUGAAGUGCAAUAAAAUGUUGUACACGUUGUGCUGUUGCUUCUCCACACGUUCACUUAGAGUGACCAGGUCUCCUCCCUUUGAGCCAAUGACCUGUAGGACAUUUACAAAUUAGUUGCAAGUUAUUUACCGAUUUCCUCCAAGUGUUGCAUUGCUUAUUGCAUGUUUGCACACAGGCUUCAGGUUACCAUUAAUCCACACAAUGGUUCAGACAGGGAUAACAAUCUUCAUCAUAAGCUUGUGACACCAACUACCAAAUUUGUGUACGGCCAUAUUAAGAUUAACAGGAUCUUACCUUACGGUGGCCAUCAAGUGUUCCCUGGCUUAUUGGUUUCACCUGAGAAGAAAAGAUCAAUUUAGAAUUGUAUUCAAAUGGCCUUGCCAUUAUUUCCCUAAUGUGGUGAAGUAGUUCAAAUAACGGUUUACCACUCUUUAAUUUUAAAGUUAAAGCAGUUUCACGUCAAUUAAAUUUAGGAACAUUUGUGAUGUGCAUGGAUCAAUAUGGACAAUUCACACGAAUCCCAGAUUACAAUGCUGCAGUAGUGCUCUGUUGAGACUGCUACAUCUAAGUAAACUGAUCACAUACAUGAGAGCUGGUUAUUUGACCACCUUUCAGGAGAUAAUGAGGAUGACUGAACACAGGAGAGAAGUUGAGAAGACGAGGCAGAGCCUUCCCAUCAACUUGGCCACAGCACCUCUUUACACAGGUACUCCCCCCUCCCUGCUUUAACAAACACUGAGUUGUGCCAUCCUUUUACCUCCAUUUAAAUCUUCUAUGCCAUAUGUUCCAUGUUAAAUUAUCAAUUCUGGUUUGACUACAACUGCAGAUUUUGCACCAGUGGGCAGUCGUCACACAAGCCUCAGGUUACCAUUAAUCCACACAGUGGUUCAGACAGGGAUAACAAUCUUCAUCAUAAGCUUGUGACACGUAACUACCAAACUCUUGUACACCAUAUUAAGAUUUACAGGAUCUUACCUUAGGGUGGCCAUCCAUCAAGUUAUUCAUGACUUAUUGGUUUUCCCUGAGGUAAGAAAAAAAAGCUCCAUUUAGAAGUGUAUUCUAAUAGCCUUUCCAUUAUUUCCCUAAUGUGGUUAAAAAGUUCUCAGAACCGGUUACAAUCGUCAGUUAUCGCAUCGGACGGCUUUUCCUAUGUAACGAAUUCAUCAGAGAAGUUUGCAUUUUACUUGCAGUUCACGAGGUUACCAUUAAUCCACAGUGGUUCAGACCAGGAUAACAAGCUUCAUCAUAAGCUUGUGACACUUAACUACCAAAUUAUUGUACCAUAUUUUAAGAUUAACAGGAUUUUACCUUAGGGUGGCCAUCAAGUGUUCUAUGGCCUAUUGGUUUCACCUGAGAAGAAAAGAUCAAUUUAGAAUUGUAAUCAAACAGCCUUGCCAUCAUUGCAUGUAAUGUGGUUAAGUAGUUCAAAUAACAGUUUACCACACGUUAAUUUUAAAGUUUGAGCAGUUUCACGUCAAUGAAAUUUAGGAACAUUUGUGAUGUGCAUGGAUCAAUAUGGACAAUUCACACGAAUCCCAGAUUACAAAGCUGCAGUAGUGCUCUGUUGAGACUGCUACAUCCAAGUAAACUGAUCACAUACAUGAGCUGGUUAUUUGACCACCUUUCAGGAGAUAAGGAGGAUGACUGAACACAGGAGAGAAGUUAAGACGAGGCAGAGCCUUCCCAUCAACUUGGCCACAGCACCUCUUUACACAGGUACUCCCCCUCCCUGCUUUCACAAACUGUGCCAUCCACUUACCCCCAUUUAAAUCUUUUAUGCCAUAUGUUCUAUGUUAAAUUAGCAAUUCUGAUUUGACUGACUGCAGAUUUUGCACCAGUGGGCAGUAGUCGCACAAGCCUCAGGUUACCAUUAAUCCACACAGUGGUUCAGACAGGGAUAACAAUCUUCAUCAUAAGCUUGUGACACGUAACUACCAAACUCUUGUACACCAUGUUAAGAUUUACAGGAUCUUACCUUAGGGUGGGCCAUCCAUCAAGUUAUUCAUGACUUAUUGGUUUUCCCUGAAAAAAAAAAAGAAAAAAGCGCCAUUUAGAAGUGUAUUCAAAUAGCCUUUCCAUUAUUUCCCUAAUGUGGUUAGAAAGUUCUCAGAACUGUUUACAAUCGUCAGUUAUCGCAUCGGACGGCUUUUCCUAUGUAAAGAUUUCAUCAGAGAAACCACAGAAAAGGGGUUUGCAUUUUACUUGCAUUUCUCGAGAAAUACUCACUUAAUGCAUGGCGGAGUGAAGCCGCAAAUAGUCUGCUUCACUUUCCCCAGUCAAAACGACUAAGGAUCAGACGUUCGGCCUGGACUUCCACAACGAGGCUUCCAUUCGCAAAUUGGUGUCACCACAUGCCAUGCCUCAACAAAUUAAGGCAGGCGCCAAGUCUCCUAUAAAAAAAGAAUGCAAUAAUUAAUACAACAGAAAUAUUAAUAUUUUAAAACAUUGGUCAUAGCACAUGUAGCUAACGGGAUUUAGUUGGCCUGCAACUGAAUGGUGACCGGCCAAGCACAACCACGUGUUUCAUGAGAUCAUGCUAGCUAACGUUAGCAGUUAGUCUUUAAGCACAUAUAACGUUAAGGAAAUUAAGGUCAGAAAAUUAACUGAACUGCUUCCAUCGGCAAUAAUCAUGCACAGAACACUUAAUAAGUAUUGUUCACAAAGCCAGUAAACCAUCAAGGGCUUGCUAAAAUAUUGGCUAACGCUUGCUAAUGUGUCCAUUUAACGUUAGUGUAGGAUCAAAACAUAGAGCAAAACAACUCAUUUUUGCAAGAAAUCAUAAACUUACCUUUAAGGUGGUUCCGAAGCACUGAUCGUCGAAAUAUCUAGACUACACAUAGCAAUGUAAGUAGAUGGCAUCGCUGAAGGUACAAGCUUCCGUCCGACCGCACUAACGAAGGGAGAAAGGAAUAUAGAA
ensembl:lncRNA